rnacentral:tRNA from 1 species
AGGUAUGUUAAUUCAAUGGUAGAAUGUAGUACUACGGUUACUAUUAUAUAAGUUCGAAUCUUAUACAUACUUA